rnacentral:rRNA from 1 species
AUUGAACGCUGGCGGCAGGCCUAACACAUGCAAGUCGAGCGAGCGGCGGACGGGUGAGUAAGGUAUGGGGAUCUGCCUGAUGGAGGGGGAUAACUACUGGACACGGUAGCUUAUUCCGCACACCAUCAGAUGAACCCAUAUGGGAUUAGCUUGUAGGUAAGGUAACGGCUUACCAAGGCCACGAUCCCUAGCUGGGCUGAGAGGAUGAGCAGCCACACUGGAACUGAGACACGGCCCAGACUCCUACGGGAGGCAGCAGUGGGGAAUAUUGGACAAUGGGCGCAAGCCUGAUGCAGCCAUGCCGCGUGUAUGAAGAAGGCCUUCGGGUUGUAAAGUACUUUCAGUCGGGAGGCGUUACCGACAGAAGAAGCACCGGCUAACUCCGUGCCAGCAGCCGCGGUAAUUC